UUGCGCUAAUGCAGUACUGUAGUCGCUAGUCAAAGACCAAUAAGAGGCGGACUAUCAGUCACGUGAUCCUUACAUGAUCAUGAUACCUAUCACCAUCACGUAGGCAUAACAGAUUUAUAGUGCAUCAUUUGUGUAGCAUACUUACUAGUUUCGUGAAUAAUUUUCAUACUGUGAAUCAGUUAAGUUAUAAUUUUUAAAUGGUUGAUGUUUAUAACUUACUGUGAUAAAUGUAUAACUUAUGGGUAUGGUUUGGUUUAACUUAACACUAAUUUGGUCAAUCACUUGAUGCAUAAAUAAUGUGUUAUGAAUUUGAUGCUUGGUGAUAAGUGUGAACUCAGUAAUCUUUUUAAGUCAUUGAUUAGUGUGAAAAAGUAAAUCCUGUCAAGGGUGAUAACUAAUUAAGUGCUGCCUACGCACAAUGAGAUUGGUAAUUAGGAAUUUGUUAGCAAAGUCAUGUGGUUGAUUGCCUAUAAACGUGUUUGAUUUCUUUAAAUAAUACUUCUCAGGGAUAAGAUUUUUGGGAUUACAAUGUGUGAAAAUUGUGAGGUGUUGGGCAAAAUGAACGAAAAAGGUUAAAUGUGAUGCUUGUGACUUGUCCAUAAUGAGUUUUGGGAUUACAAUGUGUGAAAAUUGUGUUGGGCAAAAUGAAAGAAAAAGGUUGAAUGUGAUGCUUGUUCAAAGUGACUCAAGUGUGCUCUAAUGCUAUAAUGUCAGAUUGAACAAAUGUCAGAUUUUUGGGGUCUAAAUUUAAGUGCACAAUGAUGCCUUUGGAAAGACUCAACAAGAGAACCUAACCAGGCCAGGUUGGUUGAUUCACAUUUUACUUCUGUUUGUUGAACUUCGUUUGCUUGUAACAUAAUUUGCAGCCCAUAAAUUUUAUCAUACUGGUAGGGGAAAUUGAUAAUGCGAAAUGUUUUCAGUACAAUUUGUGUCUUUAUUUUUGAUAAAGCCCACGUCAAGAGAAACACAUUUUGCAAAAUUCUAUCCCAUGAAGUAUUUUUCGUUCCAAAAUCUUGGUGAUAAGUUAGAAAUUUUCUGUGCUUAGAAAAAGUUGGUUUCUUCUUACAGGUGAUGCCAUCUUUCCACUAAACCGGAUAAUGACAUCAUAAAUCCACUUCAUCAGCUAGUGUGACCUCCGCUAGUAAAGACUUGUAGCUUGGAUUAAAAUGUGUAAAGGUCAGGUUAGUCAAGAAAGUAGUACAAGGUGUUCCAGCAGGAUAGAGACUUGUCCCAAGAAGGGCCCAAGAGUAAAGAUCCCUUUGGAGGCAGAGGUAAACCAGAUUAGGUACCAUUAAAGUUGGACCCUUGCCAAGAAGGGAGAGGCACCAUGUAGUCAAGGUAAUGCUGCCCAUGAGGAGAGAGUGCAGGGUGAAUGAAGAAUAACACCAGGAGGUUAGCUCGUGCAUUCUGAGAAAAGGCCAGAUAUCCAAUCCAGGGACGUACAGAGCCAAAAUUGCAUGCCGGUGUCUACAAGUUGAGUCAAGCAUCAUAUGUAAAUUGUACAAGCUUCCAUCAGCGUGCUACUCAAAUCAUCACAUCUUUAUAGAAGGACUAGAUCUGUGCUGCGGUGUGUGUCUCCUGUCUACAAGUUAAAAGUCAUUCAUAGAAGUGAUCCUCUUCUUUCAGACUAAACGUAAAACUUCUGCCAUGUGUCAUUGCUUUGCAUGUUUGCUGGUGUGUUGUCUACCUAUCUCUCAAGCUGCCCAGGACUAGAGCAGAAGACAAGCGACUAAAGUAAGCAGACUUCAUAACAUUCCAUUGCAGUGGACAUGAAGUAGCAAGGCAUCCCUAGAUGAGAAGGUUCAUUUUUCUACAGGCAAAUUAUCAAGCCAUCCAGUGAAUAUGGUGACAGGCAAGUGGCUUACAUGUGAGAUUCUGUCAAAUUAACCAAAAAGCCGAGCUGUUGAUGAGAUCUGGUAACUACAAGCAGUUAAAGGUUCAUGAAGAUUAUCAAGAUUUUCCCAAGGACUAGAGUGUUCAAGAAACGUAAGCUCAUUUGUUUCAAUCUUUUCACCCCAGAGUUGAAGAAAUUCACAGAAAUCUAUGCUGGUUGAAAGAACAUUUGUUGCAACAUUCACUACCAUCAAAGGCGUCUCAUAACCAAUAUUAUGGUUCUCUUCAAAACGGUUUCUUUCCCCAAAGGUGCAGUACCAUGGUGAGCAAACUAUAUUAUUCCGUCAAAGGACUUCUGAAGAAAAUUUCCAAGGUUGGAUCCUACAAGGUCAGAGCUUUUAAGAUCUGUGUGGCCCAGUGUAUUGAUGAGGAGAGAAUAUUCAGUUUCUUGUGUUGCAAAGGAAAGCCAAAAGCUGGUCAUGCUGAAAGGGAGCUGGACGUUUGGCACAGUUGCUAACCCAUCGAUUUGUAUCUGAAACAGGCAAGUGAGUGCUGAGAGAGACAGUUCCAAAAGUAAUUUGUCUGAAUGCAGGAAGUUCAGCUGGAAUGUAGAGGAGUGCUAGACAACAGCAAGGUGAUUCUUCAUUUCUAAUAGAAGCUAAAAUGGACUCCCAACCUGAGGGUCUAGGAGCAGAAUAAGUCAGUCUCACUACAAGCUGAAGGCAAGGUGCUUUUGUUUCUCAGGAGUCAAUUAAGAACAUUUAAAAGGAAAAAUCAAGAUGGACCAAAAGAAAGGCAAAGGAAAGUGUUACAUUUUGGAC